rnacentral:rRNA from 1 species
GAUGAACGCUGGCGGCGUGCCUAACACAUGCAAGUCGAGCGUGAACCCUGCGAAUGAAACUUCGGUCGAUUUUGCAGGGGGAAAGCGGCGGACGGGUGAGUAACGCGUAGGUAACCUGCCCCAUACUGAGGGAUAGCCUCGGGAAACCGGGAUUAAUACCUCAUAACACCGUAUAUUCGCAUGGAUGUGCGGUCAAAGAUUUAUCGGUAUGGGAUGGGCCUGCGUCUGAUUAGCUGGUUGGUGGGGUAACGGCCUACCAAGGCGACGAUCAGUAGCCGACCUGAGAGGGUGAUCGGCCACAUUGGAACUGAGACACGGUCCAAACCCCUACGGGAGGCAGCAGUGGGGAAUAUUGCACAAUGGGCGAAAGCCUGAUGCAGCAACGCCGCGUGAGCGAAGAAGGCCUUUGGGUCGUAAAGCUCUGUCGGGUAGGAAGAUAAUGACGGUACUACCCGAGGAAGCCCCGGCUAACUACGUG